rnacentral:rRNA from 1 species
AUACGGAAGGUCCGGGCGUUAUCCGGAUUUAUUGGGUUUAAAGGGAGCGCAGGCGGAGAUGCAAGCGUGACGUCAAAUUUCGGGGCUCAACCCCGUCUCGCGUCGCGAACUGCGUCCCUUGGUUGCGGGAAGGGGAGGCGGAACUCGGGGUGGAGCGGGGAAAUGCAUAGAUAUCACGAAGAACUCCGAUCGCGAAGGCAGCCUUCCGGCCCGUCAACGACGCUCAUGCUCGAAGGUGCGGGUAUCAAACAGGAUUAGAUACCCUGGUAGUCCGCACAGUAAACGAUGGACACCCGCGGUUUGGCCUGUAUGGCUGAGCCGCCAAGCGAAAGCGUUAAGUGUCCCACCUGGGGAGUACGCCGGCAACGGUGAAACUCAAAGGAAUUGACGGGG